UAAGGAAUAUUGGUCAAUGGACGCAAGUCUGAACCAGCCAUGCCGCGUGAAGGAUUAAGGCCCUCUGGGUUGUAAACUUCUUUUAUAGGGGAAGAAAUGUGACGGUUCUCCGUCACUUGACGGUACCCUGGGAAUAAGCACCGGCUAACUCCGUGCCAGCAGCCGCGGUAAUACGGAGGGUGCAAGCGUUAUCCGGAUUCACUGGGCGUAAAGGGCGCGUAGGCGGUCUGUUAAGUCCGAUGUUAAAUCCCGGGGCUCAACCCCGGAUAAGCGUUGGAUACUGGCAGGCUAGACGGUUGGAGAGGCGAGUGGAAUCACCAGUGUAGCGGUGGAAUGCGUAGAUACUGGUAGGAACACCCAUUGCGAAGGCAGCUCGCUGGACAACACGUGACGCUGAGGCGCGAAAGUGUGGGGAGCAAACC
rnacentral:rRNA from 1 species